CCCGCUUGUUGUCCUUCACUGCCUGAUUUUUCGACCUUACAUGACAUACCUUCUCCCUCAGCGAUAUCAUAAAAGAGGUUGUUUAGAAGAGUUACUAUCAAUAGACAAACAAAGUAAUUGAUUAAAUGGCCGGCUUCCUCCCACCAACUGUUGAAGUUGUCGAGGUUUUUCUUACCAUUGUUGCUACGGUGGACGCUUGAUGUUCCUUCUUCACUUCCCUCAUUUAUAUGAAGAGGAAUCAUGGAAAUGACGGUGAUGACCAAUCUUCACGAGCAGUUUGAUUGGGAUUAUCUUUUCUUACUGUAUAUUUGAGUGUCCGAUAGUGAUUGAUGAUACUACUUCUAUCACUCCCAUUGGGGCUUCGGAUUCUGGUCCCAAAGAUGUU
rnacentral:sRNA from 1 species